GUGGGGAAUCUUGCGCAAUGGGCGAAAGCCUGACGCAGCAACGCCGCGUGGGGGAUGAAGGCUCUCGGGUUGUAAACCCCUUUCUGCAGGGACGAAUCAAGACGGUACCUGCAGAAUAAGCCCCGGCUAACUACGUGCCAGCAGCCGCGGUAACACGUAGGGGGCAAGCGUUGUCCGGAUUUAUUGGGCGUAAAGAGCUCGUAGGUGGCUGAGUAAGUCGGAUGUCAAAUCCCCAGGCUCAACCUGGGAUCCCAUCCGAUACUGCUCUGGCUAGAGUCCGGUAGGGGAGCGUGGAAUUCCUGGUGUAGCGGUGAAAUGCGCAGAUAUCAGGAGGAACACCAGCGGCGAAGGCGGCGCUCUGGGCCGGUACUGACACUGAGGAGCGAAAGCGUGGGUAGCAAACAGGAUUAGAAACCCUAGUAGUCC
rnacentral:rRNA from 1 species